UACGUAGGGGGCAAGCGUUGUCCGGAUUCAUUGGGCGUAAAGAGCGUGUAGGCGGCCAGGUAGGUCGGUUGUGAAAAACUGGAGGCUCAACCUUCAGAGGUCGACCGAAACCAUCUGGCUAGAGUCCGGGAGAGGAGAGUGGAAUUCCUGGUGUAGCAGUGAAAUGCGUAGAUAUCAGGAGGAAUACCGAUGGCGAAGGCAGGUCUCUGGGCUAGAACUGACGCUCAUGCACGAAAGCGUGGGGAGCAAACAGG
rnacentral:rRNA from 1 species